AUCUAAGGCCAUGCCACCCUGCACGUGCCUGAUCCCGUCUGAUCUCCGAAGUCUGGUUAGUACUUGGAUGGGAGACCACCUAGGAAGACCAGGCGCUAUAGGUG
rnacentral:rRNA from 1 species